rnacentral:tRNA from 1 species
GGCUGGUUAGCUCACUCAGUUAGAGCGCGGUGCUGAUAACACCAAGGUCGCAGGUUCAAUUCCUGUUCGGUCC